rnacentral:tRNA from 1 species
GUCCAAAUAGCUCAAUGGAAGAGCAUGCAUUCCAAGCGCAAGGUUUCUGGUUCGAUUCCAGAUUUGGACA